rnacentral:rRNA from 1 species
UGUAGAGGGGGGUAGAAUUCCAGGUGUAGCGGUGAAAUGCGUAGAGAUCUGGAGGAAUACCGGUGGCGAAGGCGGCCCCCUGGACAAAGACUGACGCUCAGGUGCGAAAGCGUGGGGAGCAAACAGGAUUAGAUACCCUGGUAGUCCACGCCGUAAACGAUGUCGACUUGGAGGUUGUUCCCUUGAGGAGUGGCUUCCGGAGCUAACGCGUUAAGUCGACCGCCUGGGGAGUACGGCCGCAAGGUUAAAACUCAAAUGAAUUGACGGGGGCCCGCACAAGCGGUGGAGCAUGUGGUUUAAUUCGAUGCAACGCGAAGAACCUUACCUACUCUUGACAUCCAGAGAACUUAGCAGAGAUGCUUUGGUGCCUUCGGGAACUCUGAGACAGGUGCUGCAUGGCUGUCGUCAGCUCGUGUUGUGAAAUGUUGGGUUAAGUCCCGCAACGAGCGCAACCCUUAUCCUUUGUUGCCAGCGGUCCGGCCGG